rnacentral:rRNA from 1 species
AUUGAACGCUGGCGGCAUGCUUUACACAUGCAAGUCGAGCGGCAGCGCGGGGGCAACCCUGGCGGCGAGCGGCGAACGGGUGAGUAAUGCAUCGGAACGUACCCUGGAGUGGGGGAUAACGCCGCGAAAGCGGCGCUAAUACCGCAUAUGCUCUGAGGAGGAAAGUGGGGGACCGCAAGGCCUCACGCUCUGGGAGCGGCCGAUGUCCGAUUAGCUAGUUGGUGAGGUAAAGGCUUACCAAGGCGACGAUCGGUAGCUGGUCUGAGAGGAUGAUCAGCCACACUGGGACUGAGACACGGCCCAGACUUCUACGGGAGGCAGCAGUGGGGAAUUUUGGACAAUGGGGGCAACCCUGAUCCAGCCAUGCCGCGUGAGUGAAGAAGGCCUC